GCAUGCACAGCUGUCAGCACCAAGGACAGCAGCCUGCUCAGUUCGGAGCGAGCAGUCAGCGACGCAUCGGGCUGAUCAGUCCGCACACAGCGCACCGAGCAGCGGCUAGAGGGUGCGACUCACGCCCCGGAGGACAAGCCGCGUGGAGGAUGAUUUAACUAUCUAUGAAAAAAAAAGCGAUUCUGCAGAGGAGAGCAACAAUAAAAAAAAAGAUGGACAAUGCGGGUUGGAUGUCCACAGUUGACAGGCUGCUGUUAAUAUGAGCAUGCACAUUCCUCCGCAUUGCACAUAAAUCCAUCUUUUUUUUUUUGUCUUCUCCUUCCUCUUCUGGCCCUCCCCCCCUCCCACCCGUCGCUCUCACCGCCCACCUGGAUCGUGCAUUGAACGGGCUGAGCCGUGCCGCCGUCCAGAAGCUGGUGGAGCCGACCCGCCACCGGGGAGAAAAGCGACCGGGCUGCACUGAGGAGCUGUUUGCUGGUGGUCCACACGAUGCGUCUGUUUCUGUUGGCGGUGCUCUUCUGGUGCUCCUGCGCGCGGGCCGGCUGCGAGCCGAAGAUCGUGAACAUCGGGGCCGUGCUGAGCCAGAAGAGAUACGAGCAGGUCUUCAAAGAUGCCGUGACCCAGGCCAACCAGGUUUAUGGAAGAGAUAAAUUCAAGCUGACCGCCAUCUCCGUCACGCACAAGCCCAACGCCAUCCAGAUGGCUCUGUCCGUGUGCGAGGACCUCAUCUCCAGUCAGGUCUACGCUAUCCUGGUGAGUCACCCUCCCCAGUCCAAUGACCACCUCACUCCAACGCCUGUCUCAUACACUGCGGGCUUCUACCGCAUCCCCGUGGUGGGGCUCACCACCCGCAUGUCCAUCUACUCCGACAAGAGUAUCCACCUGUCCUUUCUGCGGACAGUCCCUCCCUACUCCCACCAGGCGCACGUGUGGUUCGACCUGAUGCGUGAGUUCAACUGGAACCACAUCAUCCUGAUAGUGAGCGACGACCACGAGGGGCGCGCUGCUCAAAAGAGGCUGGAGACCCUGCUGGAGGAGAGAGAAACAAAGAAUAAAAAAAGGAACUAUGAAAACCUCGACCAACUGUCCUAUGACAACAAGCGAGGACCUAAGGCAGAGAAAGUCCUCCAGUUCAGCCAGGAGACUAACUUAACUGCCCUGCUGCUGGAGGCCAAAGAGCUGGAGGCCCGAGUCAUCAUCCUGUCCGCCAGUGAGGAGGACGCUGCUGCAGUGUACAAGGCUGCCCGCUUCCUCAACAUGACGGGCUCGGGGUACGUGUGGCUGGUGGGCGAGCGGGAGAUGUCGGGUAAAGCCCUGAGCGAGGCGCCAGACGGUCUGAUCGGCCUCCAGCUCAUCAACGGGAAGAAUGAGUCGGCGCAUAUCAAUGAUGCGGUGGCUGUGGUGGCGCAGUCCAUCCAGGAGCUCUUUGAGAAGGAGAAUAUCACAGAACCCCCGAGAGGAUGUGUGGGCAACACCAACAUCUGGAAAACAGGGCCGCUCUUUAAACGGGUGCUGAUGUCCUCCAAAUACCCCGAGGGCCUCACAGGUCGCGUGGAGUUCAAUGACGACGGGGACAGGAAGUACGCCCAUUACAGUAUCCUCAACUACCAGAAGAGUCGCCUCAUUCAAGUCGGCAUUUACAAUGGGACACAGGUGGUAAUGAACAAUCAGCGGAAGAUCAUCUGGCCCGGGGGAGAGACAGAGAAACCACAGGGCUUCCAGAUGUCCACUCGACUAAAGAUAGUGACGAUUCACCAGGAGCCAUUUGUGUAUGUGAAGCCGACUCAACCGGAUGGAACAUGCCACGAGGAAAUGACAUUAAAUGGAGUCUUAAUAAAAAAGGUUAUCUGCACUGGGCCCAAUGAGACCAUCCCAGGUAACCUAUCAGGACGCCCAAUUGUACCCCAAUGUUGUUACGGAUUCUGUAUUGAUCUCCUUAUCAAGUUGGCUAUGACCAUGAACUUCACCUAUGAGGUACACCUGGUGGCUGAUGGGAAAUUUGGAACGCAGGAGCGGGUGAACAACAGUAACAAGAAAGAGUGGAAUGGCAUGAUGGGAGAGCUCCUGGGGGGCCUGGCUGACAUGAUUGUAGCCCCGCUGACUAUUAACAACGAACGCGCCCAGUACAUCGAAUUCUCCAAGCCCUUUAAAUAUCAAGGUCUCACGAUCCUUGUUAAAAAGGAAAUACCUCGCAGUACACUGGACUCGUUCAUGCAGCCGUUCCAAAGCACGCUGUGGCUACUGGUGGGUCUUUCGGUGCAUGUGGUGGCGGUGAUGCUUUACCUACUAGACCGGUUCAGCCCGUUUGGAAGAUUUAAAGUAAACAGUGAAGAAGAAGAAGAAGAUGCCCUCACCUUAUCAUCGGCUAUGUGGUUCUCCUGGGGAGUGUUGCUGAAUUCUGGUAUUGGAGAAGGUGCACCGCGCAGCUUCUCAGCGAGAAUCCUAGGUAUGGUGUGGGCCGGAUUUGCCAUGAUAAUUGUGGCAUCCUAUACUGCCAACCUGGCUGCCUUCCUGGUGUUGGACCGGCCUGAGGAGCGCAUCACCGGCAUCAAUGACCCAAGGCUGAGAAACCCAUCGGACAAGUUCAUCUACGCCACGGUGAAGCAAAGCUCCGUGGACAUCUACUUCCGGCGGCAGGUGGAGCUUAGCACCAUGUACCGCCACAUGGAGAAGCACAACUAUGAGAGUGCCGCCGAGGCUAUCCAGGCUGUUCGUGACAACAAGCUGCAUGCUUUCAUCUGGGACUCUGCGGUGCUGGAGUUUGAAGCUUCGCAGAAGUGCGACCUGGUGACCACGGGAGAGCUGUUUUUCCGUUCGGGCUUUGGCAUAGGCAUGCGCAAGGACAGCCCCUGGAAACAGAAUGUGUCCCUGGCCAUUCUCAGUUCUCAUGAGAACGGCUUCAUGGAAGACCUAGAUAAAACCUGGGUGAGAUACCAGGAGUGUGACUCAAGGAGCAAUGCCCCAGCCACACUCACCUUUGAAAACAUGGCAGGGGUAUUCAUGCUGGUGGCCGGUGGGAUUGCAGCAGGUAUCUUCCUAAUCUUCAUUGAAAUCGCCUAUAAGCGCCAUAAAGACGCCCGCAGGAAGCAGAUGCAGCUGGCCUUUGCGGCGGUCAAUGUUUGGAGGAAGAACCUGCAGCCCUCUUCCUCUCUAGAGACUCAGGAUUCUUUCUCAUAAGGACCCUCUCUCUAUUUAGACCACAUACAAUAAGGUCAUUGAGUGGGGGGGUAGUAGUGGUGGUUGUGGGAGAAAACAGAAUGGGUGAAACCACGGUUGUCACCCUGGCCAGAGGACAUGAAUAAUGUUUCUACAUAUAUUCAUUUUAGGAUAGGAAAAGUGGUAGAGCAGAGCCCGACCCCAAAAAGAAAGCCUCUUUUAGGUCCAUCAGUACCAACCUGGCCUCCAGCAUCAAGAGACGUAGGUCCUCCAAAGACACGCAGUACCCACCUACUGACAUCACGGGCCAGCUCAACUUGUCUGACCCGUCUGUCAGCACCGUGGUGUAAAGAGAGGGGAGAUGUCGAGGUCCGCUCCCCGAGGAGAGAGGAAACGAGACGAGGGAGAAAAAGGAGAGGAAGAAGUGGACGAGGAGAGGGAGAAGGGAGAAGCCAUCUCCUCGUUCCCUUCGCCGCUCAAGUCUGGGCUUUCAUUUCAUCGCAGGCCGACGGAAGCUUUGGAGGAAGCUUGCUUGCUGAAGAAGUGUCUGAAAAACACUGAACUUGCACCUUUUUUGAAAGUCAGGAUUACCUGGCGUUAGAUAUUUGUAGGGUCCCUGAGCAUGCAGAGAAGAACCCAUCUGACUCACAUAUACAAUCUUUUCCUUAUGUAUAUUAUUAGCAAACUUAUUUAACCUUGUUUUUUGUCAUUUUGCUCACUCACAGAGAUUUACUUAAUGUUUGAUGUUCAAAGUUCCUGACCCGCUGUAUAGGUCUAGCAAGCCAGGUUUAGUUUAGUUAAGUUUAAGGAUGAAGUACUUUACUGUACUUUACAUAUCCCUUUAAUUAGGGCUUAGAUUCCAUAGUGACAGGUUUUCCUAACAGCAUAUACCGCAAUACAAAACGUACUGUACGCUUCAAUGGAUAUCAGUUAUUUUUUAAUGCAAACUACCUAUGUUUUUAUCUACACCUUAAAGGUUUUUAGAAGAUGUUGCUUUCUUUGAGAAGCACUAUUAUUGGCACUAAUGAGAAGGAACUUGUCUACGAGUGAAGAUGAAGGAAGCAUGUGAGCGCUUGUAUAUGAAUAAGAGCUUUAUGUAUCUGAAGGAUGAAAUUGUUAUUUUGAAGGCUAUAUACCAGAUUCUGUAGUUGUUUUCCCCUUUAAUCAUGUCCUAAUCAACCGAAUGCAUGUUUUUGUGUUCUUCUAAGAACUCAAAGACAUCCUGUCAAGCUUAACUGUCAUUCAAAGCAAGGUACAAGCUGAAUACUCCCUGAGUAAUUUGUGAUCUGAUCAAACAGUUAAUUAAGACUGGUGUUCUUACGUUCUGAAACAUGUUCUCAUUCGUGAGCCAUGUUGCUUUUGGGGGCGCCCUCUCUCUUCCUCUCUCCUGCCGCAGCAGUCUUUCUCAUUUCUAGUCUCUAAGGGGUUGCAUCAAAGGGCCAAGUUUUUUACUUAACCCUCACUCGGUCUUUCAUGCGAAACCUCGUCCUGGCGUAACGCCGGACAGUUUUCCACGAAUGGAACCCGAGUGAAUUCAAAGCAAGGUCUUGGUUAGGCGUAAAAACAGGCCGUUUCCCAUUUUCUGGAGCUGAGAAACCACUGCUGUUUGUUGAAUCACCUCGUGUCUACUCUCUGGCACUGCAUAGCACUUUAUGCUGAGGCGUCUCCCAAACUCUCAAAUAACGACAUCGAUUUGCCAAGAAACUACAACAGAGUAACACCAGUCAGACAUAUUAACUUCUCCACUGUAAUUUCUCAAAUCCCUUUUUCAUUUCACUACAGAUACCUUUCUUACAGAGCCUUUAGAAGAUUAAUAAUGACCUUGGAAACAACUACAAAACAGAAUUAGGUUUUUCUAACUCGAACCUGGAGUUUGCUUUCUGAUCACGUUCUCAUUCCGGCCUUUGCAUGCUUACGUGUUACAAUCAGUGUUUGUUUUUGGAUGCGUGUUGUUGCCGUGUACAGUCAGCCGAGCUGUGUCAAGCACUUCCUGUAAAUAGAUUUGGUGUAGAUAGGUUUGAGGAGAUUGUACUGCUUGUAUUACGACUGCAGCUGAGAAUGUCUAGUAACACACGCCAACAACAGUUGUGAUUCACUGGCAUGAAACAUACACACACAAACACAUACACACAAACACACACACAUACAUUGUCACACACACACACCAUCACUUGUUUUUCUUACCUUUUCAAGUAAUGAUCUUGCAUUGAAUCAUCUUGUUUAUACAACUGUAAAUAAAAUAUACUUGCAUUGCCAAGUCUACCCAA